UGCAGUCGACGCACAGCGAAAGGUGCUUGCACCUUUCAAGUGAGUGGCGAACGGGUGAGUAACACGUGGACAACCUGCCUCAAGGCUGGGGAUAACAUUUGGAAACAGAUGCUAAUACCGAAUAAAACUCAGUGUCGCAUGACACAAAGUUAAAAGGCGCUUUGGCGUCACCUAGAGAUGGAUCCGCGGUGCAUUAGUUAGUUGGUGGGGUAAAGGCCUACCAAGACAAUGAUGCAUAGCCGAGUUGAGAGACUGAUCGGCCACAUUGGGACUGAGACACGGCCCAAACUCCUACGGGAGGCUGCAGUAGGGAAUCUUCCACAAUGGGCGAAAGCCUGAUGGAGCAACGCCGCGUGUGUGAUGAAGGCUUUCGGGUCGUAAAGCACUGUUGUAUGGGAAGAACAGCUAGAAUAGGGAAUGAUUUUAGUUUGACGGUACCAUACCAGAAAGGGACGGCUAAAUACGUGCCAGCAGCCGCGGUAAUACGUAUGUCCCGAGCGUUAUCCGGAUUUAUUGGGCGUAAAGCGAGCGCAGACGGUUAAUUAAGUCUGAUGUGAAAGCCCGGAGCUCAACUCCGGAAUGGCAUUGGAAACUGGUUAACUUGAGUGCAGUAGAGGUAAGUGGAACUCCAUGUGUAGCGGUGGAAUGCGUAGAUAUAUGGAAGAACACCAGUGGCGAAGGCGGCUUACUGGACUGUAACUGACGUUGAGGCUCGAAAGUGUGGGUAGCAAACAGGAUUAGAUACCCUGGUAGUCCACACCGUAACGAUG
rnacentral:rRNA from 1 species